GAGCAAAAUAAUCAAAAUGAUCGGUCUCCUCGUCUACACUAGCAUCUGUCUGUACCUCUGGGAUCUUCUGCUGGGCUGCUGUUGUCUCACUGGAUACUGUCUCUUUAUCUUCUCUCUCAGCAUUGGACUCCCCUGUAUUGCAUAGCAUUAAAAAUGCAGAAGGGCAUAGACACUGUUAUGUCAUGGCCGCAGAUAGGAACUCUUGAGUAAACAACUUGAACCUAGUAUUUAUUCAGUCAUUUUAUUGUAAUGCAUUUAUGCGGCACAAUGAAUUCUGUCUAGACUAACUUUAAAUCUAUAGCCUAAUGUUAACACCAUUCUAAAUAUCUGGAUAGCAUAUAGAAUCUAUCACCUCUCCUGCUCUAUGUGUGUGUUAUCUAAUCUUACUUGACAUAACUUUAAUUGAUAUUGUUUGCUCUGUUAUCUUCUCUACCUGUCCCUUCUGCAGUCAUGGCCUCUGGCUGCUCUUCCUCAUUUUCAGCAGGGGCCUGGCUUAUCUGUUGCUCAGAUGCUACAAGAACAAUCAUGAAGAGCCCGUCCUUGCUGACACUCGUCAUGUUGGGGGAGCUGUUGGUACCUGAGAAGCUAUAUGGACCCAACCAACUCUAUCUGGGAGGAGGGGGGAACUCCCUCAGAUGGUACAACCCAUCUGCUGUGCUGUCAGGCAGAGAGAAGUGAACUAACGGGACAAUUGUCAGUAGUUUUUUUGCGACCGUCCCAAAAUGAAGUGAAAGUGAAGCGGCCCACCGGGAAUUUCCCGAUUACCCACUCCGCCCCUGCCCAGGAGUUUGCUCAAACUGAUAAAUGAUGAGUGUCCAGGCGGUUACAGCCUAUGCUACAUCACUGCCGUGUCUAUGGUUUGAUUCUGGUUGUUGAGCUUCACUUUCCCCUUUUAAGUAAGUGAAUGGGGUGAAAGCAGAUGAAUGGAAGCAUUCAAAUCCAAAUAGCCGUUGUAGAAUAACUACUGAAAGAAGAUUUCAAGGCAGUUUGAUGAUUCACAGUGAAAUGGGAUGACUCUUCACUUAAGUCCUGUUGCUCAUCCUUUGCUCAACCAUGCUGUUUCCAUUUUUAAAAGCCUACUCCGCAUUAGCAGGACCUACAGUAUGUGUAGCUUCCACUGUCUGGUAUUUUUUCAAUAAAUAAGAUAAAAAGGAA